CUGCUUUACUUUAUAGUUAAUUAUUUUUAAAGCACAAUAGAAAUAAUUUUUUUUAAAAGUGACAGCAAUCUCAAAUUGGGCUUAAGAGAGCUAUAAUAUUUGCUAAUCUCAUAUAUCUCUCGUGUGUGCACAUCGAGCAUGCCUGUCAGGUGUUGUGCCAUUACUUGUGGAGAAAAGCUUCGUCUGUGAGACUAUCCUUAACCAUAGUUACGUGUCUGUCUUUUUUAUUACGUGACGUGAAUGAGAGAAAGGCUUUUACAGACCGCCAAUGAGAUGAAAGGUUUUCUAUGAGAGAGCUAUUUGCAAUUGCACGAAAUCUUUGACUUUGUUAAAAAAAGCAGCACGAUCUUCUAACUCCGGAUGACAAUAGAAAGUAUGAAUGGCGUUCGGAUAAUACACCAGCUCAGCUUCUUUCCCGCUUUUCUUCAACCCCUCGUAGUAUCUCUUCUGCCACUCUUGCAGCGGAUCAAAUCCUCCCACGAACACAAUCGUCGCCGGAUAAUCCGACCCCGAUAUAUCCUCCGAUUUGGGUCCGAACACGUUCGCCGCCGGGUGAUCCCGAUCCGACGCGUCCGGCAAAAACGCCCUCCACAUCCAGUCCGUCCGCUCCAAAUUCACUAUCGGCACUCCCACCAGCCUCCUUUCGGGUUCCGUCCGUUCCUCUCCUCCGAAAAACGGCUGGAUCGACAAGAUCCCAACAACCUUCAGAUUCUGGAACACGUGUCCGCUAUAUCUGAGCGCCACGUGGUGCGCUAUGUUUCCACCCGCGCUGUCUCCCGCGAGAAAGCAUUGUUUGAGAUUCGCGCCCUCGAAGUAGUGGCCGUCGUUCUCCAUGAAUUUCAAGACGUCGUGUGCGUCGUCGUAUUGGCACGGAUACCGAUGCUCAGGAGUGAGGCGGUAGUUGACGGAGACCACGACGGCUGGGAGUUCGCGAGCGAGUUUCUGGCAGAAGUCGUCGUAAGGUUUUGAGUUGGCGGCCAUGAACGCAAACCCUCCGCCGUGGAAGAAGACGAUGACGGGAAGGGUGGUGGCGGAUGCGGAGGCGGUGGGAGUGUAGAGGCGGAACCAGAGGUUGCGGGACGAGUCGACGAUGACGUCAGAGCUUUUGAGGUUUUUGUGAGGUUUGGUUAGAGGAGGGGAUUUGAAGUCCAGGAGGUUGAUGAAACAACGGUUGAGAGUGCCGUUUGAGCGGCGAGAGACGUCUACGGCGAAGGAAAAGGAGGACAGGAAGAGGCGGAGGCUCCAUGAAAGAUGUGGGGAGGCUAGCUGCUUUUGGUUUUGGUCCAUUUCUUCUGUAUGCGUCUGUCUCCAGCUCUGACUGAAGCAAAGCAAUGAAUG
rnacentral:lncRNA from 1 species